GCCCACAGUGGUCCAGGUGGCUGCUAUUAUCUAGGUGCCUGCUGUACCUACGUGUAACUGGACCUGCCGAGACUACAUAUCGUAUAAUUGCAUGGGUCUGUGAGCAGCCUGUGAUCAGAGAGCCGUUGAACCUUGCCCGGGAUUUGCUGGGAGGCCAGAGUGGCGGUGCCGGGAUUCUGCAGGAGUGAACUCACUGACCGCCACUCAAGGUGCUCCAGCAGCGGAAGAGGCAGGGAUGGUGUGUGCAGAGCGGCCAGGAAAGCGACUGAAGUGAGACAGCAAACAUCUCACUGUUCUUGUGACCACAUUGAGAACAUGGCAUGCUACUCCUGGGACACCCCCUGCCUAAAAGCCUGUGCUAUCACUGAACUGCGGCCCCAUCCUUCGAGAGAGAGGCCUCUCCUCUAAUGGUGGCUUCCACAGGAUUCUCAAGCAGCAGUGGAGCCCUGAGCACCAAGUGCAGCCCUGACAGGGAUGCCAAGAGCAACGCAGACACCACAGACUCAGAGGGCCUGGAGGACACCCACAACCGGCACCGGCAGAACAGGAACCAGGGGGCCAAGUCAAGGGAAAAAUAGUCAAUGGGUCAGUGCUGUACAUCUAGGGGGCAUGAACUGAGUAGAAGGCAAGCUUUCUUUCCGAAGAAGCUGGAUGGAAUUACUGGAUGCUGCUGUUUGUCUCGAAGGUGACUGUAUCCUCUCAGGGAGGUGUCUGUUACACUUUUCUGGAACCUCCUGAUGGAAUCUGGGAGCAGAUGCCACAGAGUUAACGUUGCAUGUUAAGGGCCCUGAGUCCUGGGGUGAGAGCUGAUUUUCUGGGUCUUUUCUAUCCAACCUGCACCAUCCUCAGCCCUGGCCAGAUGACUGGGUCUUUUCCAAGCUGACUGCUCGGGGAUAUUUCCAGGCCACCUCAAAGGAGACAUCCCUGGAUGUCGUCUCUGCCGCUGCUCACCCCCUCUCCCUGUCACAGCCCCCAUCUCUGCUAAGAAGCACUUCUGGAAAACCAGCGCCUGGAUGUGUUCCCUCUAUUAAUUAAAAGAUAUAUUUAUACCCUGCCUCUUGGUUGUACAACAGAAGCCCUGAGGCAGGCGUAGUAAUUAUGCCCAGUAAAUAUCGGUGACUUUGGUUCA